rfam:Triticum aestivum genome assembly, contig: Triticum_aestivum_CS42_TGACv1_scaffold_062757_1DL
CCUAUACUCCCUUCGUUCGGAAUUACUUGUCUCGGAAAUGGAUUUAUCUAGAACUAAAAUACGUCUAGAUACAUCCAUUUUCGCGACAAGUAAUUCCGAACGGAGGGAGUAGUAU